UACGUAGGAGGCGAGCGUUGUCCGGAAUUACUGGGUGUAAAGCGCGCGUAGGUGGGAGGCCAAGUCUGUGGCGAAAGCGCCCGGCCCAACUGGGCAUGGUCCAUGGAAACUGGUCACCUGGAGGACGGUAGAGGCGAGUGGAAUUCCCGGUGUAGUGGUGAAAUGCGUAGAGAUCGGAAGGAACACCAGUGGCGAAGGCGGCUCGCUGGGCCGGUCCUGACACUGAGGCGCGAAGGCGUGGGGAGCGAACGGG
rnacentral:rRNA from 1 species